GACGAACGCUGGCGGCGUGCUUAACACAUGCAAGUCGAACGGAAAGGCCAUACUUUUGUGGGGUGCUCGAGUGGCGAACGGGUGAGUAACACGUGUGUAACCUGCUCUUGACUUUGGGAUAACUUCAGGUAACUGGGGUUACUACCGGAUCGGAGCUCCUCCUGCAUGGAGGGGGUUGGAUAGUUUCGGCGGUUGGGGAUGGACGCGCGGCUUAUCAGCUUGUUGGUGGGGUAGUGGCUUACCCAGGCUUUGACGGGUAGCCGGCCUGAGAGGGUGGCCGGCCACAUUAGGACUGAGAGACGGCCCAGACUCCAACGGGAGGCAACAGGGGGGAAUAUUGCACAAUGGGCGGAAGCCUGAGGCAACAACGCCGCGUGCGUGAUGACGGCCUUCGGGUUGUAAACCGAUUUCGCCUGUGACGAAGCGUGAUUGACGGUAAUGGGUAAAGAAGCACCGGCUAACUACGUG
rnacentral:rRNA from 1 species